rnacentral:rRNA from 1 species
UACGAAGGGGGCUAGCGUUGCUCGGAAUUACUGGGCGUAAAGGGCGCGUAGGCGGCCAUUCAAGUCAGAGGUGAAAGCCCAAGGCUCAACCUUGGAACUGCCUUUGAUACUGUUUGGCUUGAGACCGGUAGAGGUAAGUGGAACUGCGAGUGUAGAGGUGAAAUUCGUAGAUAUUCGCAAGAACACCAGUGGCGAAGGCGGCUUACUGGACCGGUUCUGACGCUGAGGCGCGAAAGCGUGGGGAGCAAACAGG